rnacentral:rRNA from 1 species
GACGAACGCUGGCGGCGUGCUUAACACAUGCAAGUCGGACGAUGAAGCUGGAGCUUGCUCCAGUGGAUUAGUGGCGAACGGGUGAGUAACACAUGAGCAAUCUGCCCUUGACUCUGGGAUAACUGCGGGAAACUGUAGCUAAUACCGGAUACGACACCUUGGGGCAUCCCGGGGUGUGGAAAGAAUUUCGGUCAAGGAUGAGCUCGCGGCCUAUCAGCUUGUUGGUGAGGUAAAGGCUCACCAGGGCGACGACGGGUAGCCGGCCUGAGAGGGUGACCGGCCACGCUGGAACUGAGACACGGUCCAGACUCCUACGGGAGGCAGCAGUGGGGAAUAUUGCACAAUGGGCGAAAGCCUGAUGCAGCAACGCCGCGUGAGGGAUGACGGCCUUCGGGUUGUAAACCUCUUUUAGCAGGGAAGAAGCGAAAGUGACGGUACCUGCAGAAAAAGCACCGGCUAACUACGUGCCAGCCGCCGCCGUAA